CAGUAGCCGCGGGAAUACGUAGGUGGCAAGCGUUGUCCGGAAUUAUUGGGCGUAAAGGGCUCGCAGGCGGUUUCUUAAGUCUGAUGUGAAAGCCCCCGGCUCAACCGGGGAGGGUCAUUGGAAACUGGGAAACUUGAGUGCAGAAGAGGAGAGUGGAAUUCCACGUGUAGCGGUGAAAUGCGUAGAGAUGUGGGGGAACACCAGUGGCGAAGGCGACUCUCUGGUCUGUAACUGACGCUGAGGAGCGAAAGCGUGGGGAGCGAACAGGAUUAGAUACCCCGGUAGUCCCUGUCUCUUAUAC
rnacentral:rRNA from 1 species